UAUAACGUCUCAAACCUCUUCUUUUUCCUCAUCUUCUAUUUCUUCUCUUCUUGUCUCUCUUUCUUCCUGUUGACUCACUUACACCUAUUGAGUAGACUUGUAUGUAUUUAUUUACUUUAUUCUAUUUUUUCCUAUAACAGGGCAUGUUGUCUGUGUACAAUUCGUUUUCUGAAGAGGGCAAAAAGGAAUUUGAGGCGGCCUAUAGUGCCUCAUAUUAUCCAUGCAUGGAUAUACUGUAUGAGUGCUAUGAAGAUGUAGCCAGUGGAAGCGAAAUCCGCAGUGUUGUCUUGGCUGGGCAACGCUUUUAUGUAAGUAUCUCUAUCAUGUUUCCAACUUGUAAGUUGUAACGAAAAUGGGUUUUUUUGCACUUUAGACCAUGAAGUUUGAUUUUGUGUCUGAUUGUUUUACAGGAAAAGGAUGGUCUACCAGCUUUUCCGAUGGGGAAAAUUGAUCAAACUCGUAUGUGGAAAGUUGGUGAGCGAGUCCGAAAGUCACGACCAGCAGGUGAUCUAGGGCCAUUAUAUCCAUUUACAGCUGGUGUCUAUGUGGCCUUGAUGAUGGCACAGGUAUGAUGCUUACAGCAAACAGAGGUUAUUCUCUAAAUUAUUGUGAUUUUUAUAAUUGAAAUUUGAAACAACAAAUCUCUCAAUUUCUGACAAGUAUGUAAGUACUUUAAACAACAACUUAUUGUGAUAAUGUAAUUAUGUAGUACUAAUAUAUGUUUUUCUUCAGUCAAGCAAAGCCAAUUGCAGUGCCUCUAUUGUCAAUAUAUAUAUAUAGUGCCUCUGUAAAAUGGUGAUUCUUUGAGAAAAUAGUUCCCCUAUGUGCUAGUCUGAUGAUCUUUUUACACUGAUGUUAAUAAUUGCAGAUUGAGAUCUUGAGGAAGAAAGGGCACUCAUACUCUGAGAUCAUCAAUGAGAGUGUGAUAGAGGCAGUGGAUUCUUUAAAUCCUUUUAUGCAUGCUCGUGGAGUUUCGUUCAUGGUUGACAACUGCUCUACAACAGCACGAUUGGGUUCAAGGAAAUGGGCCCCUCGAUUCGAUUACAUCCUUACCCAACAGGCUUUGGUGGCAGUUGAUAAGGGCACCCCCAUCAACCAAGAUCUGAUCAGCAACUUCCUGUCAGACCCGGUGCACGGUGCCAUUGAAGUGUGUGCUCAGUUGAGGCCCACAGUUGACAUUUCAGUGCCCCCAGAUGCUGAUUUUGUGCGACCAGAGUUGCGUCAAUCUGGCAAUUGAGCCCUAGAAUCUUUGGAACUUGAGUGAGCAACUACUUAUACAGGUUGUUGAGGCAAAAUUUGCUUGAAUGUACGAGUGAUGUAGUUCUACCUAUAUGUGUUAUUGGGCUAGCCCUAUGUUUUAUGUAAUUGUAGGACCAAAAUUAUGGUUGUUUUGAGUUGAGAAAAUAAGACGUGGGAAUGUAUUUUCUUACUGGUUUUGGGGGUAAUGUCAAAGUUCUCAAUUUAGGAACUAUGAUCCAUCCCUUUCAUUUUUUAGGGUGUAAAUAUGGCUAUAAGUCGAUUUCUUUUUUAUCCAUUUAUGAUAAACCUAAAUUAGGGAUUAGAUUAGCAACUUUGUUACUCAUUAAAUUAUAGCAAUUAAUGUAACCAAUAACGAAGAUGAACAUCUCUAGACUUGUGUGAGAAUUGAAGGUCUUUCGUGUUCAAAGGGCAUAUUUCCAACAAUUCCCAUCUCCAAAAAACUAACAAAGUUAAAUAAAAUGUUAAUAUGCGAAUUUAUUAACUUUAUGGUAACUAAAUGAGUGAAACAAGAAAAAGGGAUAUUUAUAAUAUAUAUAAAAGUAGGAUGUUUCAAUUUCUUUCAAUUGAGUCUCCAAUUGAAUGACAAGUGUCAUUUAAUUAGAACCUUUCAUUUUUUUAUAUACCUUUGACCCAUGAAAACAACGUCGUAUUGAUAUAAGGCUUUUUGCAUUCCUAUAUGACUCUUUCUUAUUUCUCUGAGGUGUUUGACUCUUUCUUAUUUCUCUUAGUAUAUAUAAAAGUAUGAUGUUUCAAUUUCUUUUUAUUUGUUUCAAUUGAGUCUUUAAUUAAAUGACAAGUGUCAUUCAAUUAGAACUUUAUAUAAAAGUAAGAUGUUUCAAUAUCCUUCAAUUUCUUUCAAUUGAGUCUCCAAUUGAAUGACAAGUGUCAUUCAAUUAGAACCUUUCAUUUUUUUCUGUACCUUUGGCCCAUGGAAACAACGUCGUAUUGAUAUAAAGCUUUUUGCAUUCCUAUUUGACUCUUCCUUAUUUCUCUGAGGUGUUUGACUCUUUCUUAUUUCUCUUAGUAUAUAUAAAAAUAGGAUGUUUCAAUUUCUUUUAAUUUGUUUCAAUUGUGUCUUUAAUUAAAUGACAAGUGUCACUCAAUUAGAAUUUUUUUUUUAUUUUUUUGACCUUUCGUUUUUUAUUGAAUUAAUUUUUUUCACACCUUAUGUCAAAAAUAAGUUCUUUUUGACAUUUGAAAGAUUUUUUUUUUGUUUUCUUACUUUUAUUUAUUUUAAUAAAAAAAACUUAAAAACAAUACUUUUUAACUUUUAAUACUUAGAAGAUAGAUUCAUUUANCUCAAUUAGAAUUUUUUUUUUAUUUUUUUGACCUUUCGUUUUUUAUUGAAUUAAUUUUUUUCACACCUUAUGUCAAAAAUAAGUUCUUUUUGACAUUUGAAAGAUUUUUUUUUUGUUUUCUUACUUUUAUUUAUUUUAAUAAAAAAACUUAAAAACAAAUAAUUUAUAACUUUUAAUAUUUAGAAGAUAGAUUCAUUUAAUAUUUAUCAAUUACAAUUUAAUAUUAUUUUUUAUCUAUAUUCUCUUAUUCUAUAUGAAGUUGAAUCGAUAGUAUAUAGAUAUCUCUUUUAUACUUAAAUGUUUAAAUUUCAAUAAAUAUCCAUCCAAUUUAUUAUAUUAAAGUAGGAUAAUUGAUUGGAUCAAUUGAUUGACAUUUGUCAUUCUUAAUUAAAUUAUUUUUUUUUACACCUUAUGUCAAAACUACAUUGUUUUUGACAUUUGAAGAGUUUUUUUUCUUUUUUACUUUUAUUUAUUUUAGUAAAAAAUAUUUGAAAACAAUAAUUUUUAACUUUUAAUGCUUAUAAGAUAGAUUCAUUUAAUAUUUAUCAAUUAUAAUUUAAUAUUAUUUUUUGUCUAUAUUAUCUUAUUUUGUAUCAACCUAAAUUUAUAGUAUGCAGAUGUCUCUUUGUACAUGAAUUUUUAAAUUUUAAUAAACAUCCAUCCAAUUUAUUGAACAAAAUAAAAAAGUCAAAAAGACUUACUCAUUUCUCAAUAUAAAUGGCACACAGUCAUCAUUGAAUGAAUAAAUCAAUUAACUCUUUUUUAGAGGUGGAGGUGGGAGGGCAUAUAAUUAAAGAACAAUUAACUCUUCACUCAGCUAACAAUUAUAGGUAAUUGCAAGGGAAAAGUAUAUAAACUGCCAGGAGAUCUAAUUAUCACAUUAGGAACUUUAUCAUCUUGCAAGGAGACAAAGCAUUACUAAGCCUAAGAUUUUAAGGCUAGCAACAAUGGGUUUAGCAUGUUGGAGGUGUUCUUAAGUCAAAACAUAUAAUACUAGAAAUUAUUGACUAUUUUAUAUUGAUAGGAUAUUGACAUUAUACUGUUACCUUAUAUUCUACAAUUGUUUAUUUUAAUCUAUUAAUAGUGUAGGUUAUAUACUUUCUUAUUUUUUAAUAGUUUAUUAUACAUUAAUAAUUUUUGAUAGGAUUAUCGUCUUUUUUGGAUAAAUUCUGUUUUAAAUAUGAUAACUAAUUGGGUCAAUUGGUUGUCAUUCUUAAUUGAAUUAAUUUUUUUUUACAUCUUAUGUCAAAGCUGUAUUGUUUUUUUACAUUUGAAGGGUUUUUUUUAUUUUUAUUUAUUUUAGUAAAAAAAUACUUGAAAACAAUAAUUUUUAAUUUUUAAUGUUUAGAAUAUAGAUUCAUUUAAUAUUUAUCAAUUGUAAUUUAAUAUUUUUUUUUGUUUAUAUCCUUUUAUUCUGCAUGAACCUGAAUCUAUAGUAUUUAGAGAUUUCUUUUAUACAUGAAUGUUUAAAUUUCAAUAAAUAUUCAUCCAAUUCAUUGAACAAAAUAAAAAAAUAAAACAGGUGUAUUAAUUUCUUAAUAUACAUAGCACAUAGUAUCAUUGAACAAAUAAAUCAACUAAAUUUGAUAACUUUUAGCCAUUUAUUUUAUAUAUAAAAGAUAUAUUAUUAGAAAUCAGUAACUAUUUCAUAUUGAUAGGAUCUUUAUAUUAUACGGUUACCUUAUAUUGUAUAACUGUUUAUUUUAAUCUACUAAUAGUACAUGUUAUAUACUCUCUCAUUUUUUAAUAUUUUAUUAUUUUAUAAUCAUAUAUAUAAGUGCAAAUUUUUGAUAAUUGAAACCAAAGUAAAUAAUUAUUUUAUAUUAAUACCAAUUUAUAUUUUCCUCUAUUAGUAAAACUGAACAUUUAUGCAGCUGACUAAUACAAUAUUAUUUUCUCUACAAACUCUUUUAAAGGAAGCAAAUUAAAAUUUACUUUUAACGUAAUCAAUAUUUUUUGUGAUUUUAUUUGUAACGUAGUUACGGACGGCAUCAUAGUAUUAAUAUAAAAUUUUAAAAAAUAACAAAUUGAAUUUUGAAAUAAAAAAAAUAACAAAUUUAAAUCCUAAACGGAGCGUCUAGCCAAAGAAAAUCAAUCGGCAUGCGUCCCACGUCGUCGGUACGUCAGGUGACGAGCAUAGCAGUGUCCAGUGAGAAAUUGACGAGUAAAAGCUCUUUAUCAACACUGAAACAAGCGUACACACAAAAAGCAGCAAGCAAGGAAGGGGAUCAGAGGCUAUCACUAAACGGCUAAAGCUAAAGCUCUGCCUCUCUUCGCAUGCUUUCGGUUUCGACGCCUAGUAUGAAUCCUCCGGCAUCGCUCGACUUCCACACCUCUGUUUUCAACAAGGAGAAGGUCUCCCUUGCUGGUCACCAUGAGGUUUCUCAUACACUAUUUUUUUUAAAAUUAUUUCCUUUUCAUUUCUGAUAGUAAUGGGUUUUGCUUGCUUCUUUGUCAAUCUCUUUGGAGCCUUGGAGGGUUUUGUUUAAUUUUUUUGCUCAUUUGUUUAAAACAAUAUUGUAUGUACCAUGUGAUAUAGUACAUUGUGAAAGGUGGAAGAAAUUUGUUCAAGCUGCUGCCUGACGCUUUCAAGGGGAUUAAACAGAUUGGCGUUAUUGGGUGGGGUUCUCAGGUGAGUGAUCUGCUCAAAAUCUUGCAAUUCUUUCUACCUUUUGCUUUUCUAUUAAUCAAUUUUGAUCCAUUUAUUGCCAUGUGAAUUUUCUCAUUUUCUAGUAAUUCUGAAAACCUCUUCGUAUCUAGCCUCGUGCCACUAUUGGGCAGGGAUUAGCAACCAAGGGCCGAUAAAGCAUGUAUCUUUUUCCUUUUUUUCUGUUUAUUUUGAGUUGUUCUGGUUUUGGAUAAACAACUGGAAAAUUAAUUUGAUGGGUAAAUAUUUUAAUGAGAUUGAAGACUAGGUGUGCGAGUAAGGUCCAAGCUCAAAGUUGCAAAUGUCACUGACUUUUACCAAAUUCAAAACCUUCUUCUGUUCAGGGACCAGCUCAAGCUCAAAAUUUAAGAGAUUCCCUUGCAGAAGCAAAAUCUGAUAUUGUUGUCAAGGUGAUCUCAUUUCAAUUUUAUUUUCAGUAUUUUUUUUUUUCAUUGUGCUUACUAGUAGUAUUUUCUAGGGUCUUAGCUGAUUAUUUAAUUGCUUCUUUUCUUUGGAUAAAGUCUUGUUUUGUUUCUGAAUCAACUUCUUGUUUGCAUUGAUCACUUUAUUUUCUAUAGGUUGGACUUAGGAAGGGUUCUCAUUCUUUUGCCGAAGCUCGUGCUGCUGGUUUCACUGAAGAUAAUGGAACACUGGGUGAAAUAUGGGAAACUAUUUCUGGCAGCGAUCUUGUGUUACUUUUGAUAUCUGAUGCUGCACAGGUUGUUGAAACAAUAUCUGUAUUUUAUGCUUUCAAAAUCAUUAGUUGAAGUUGAAAUUACUAGCUUUUAUUACUUGUUCUUUUGACUUUAUAAGAAACUUAAUCUCAUUGUGCAGGCUGACAAUUGUGAGAAAAUAUUCUCACACAUGAAACCAAAAAGCAUACUUGGUCUCUCACAUGGCUUUCUUCUUGGGCAUUUGCAAUCUAUGGGACUUGAUUUCCCAAAAAACAUCAGCGUAAUUGCGGUUUGUCCCAAAGGAAUGGGUCCAUCAGUAAGGAGACUCUAUGUUCAAGGCAAAGAGAUCAAUGGUGCUGGUAUUAAUUCCAGUUUUGCAGUCCACCAGGUAUUUUCUUUCUUUUUCUCUUCCUCUCUCCCUCUCUGCCCCUCUAUGAUUCUCAUUUUUUACUGGGUUUAAGGCACUGGAUCAUUUUUUUUUCUGCUCAGGAUGUUGAUGGUCGAGCUACUGAUGUUGCACUUGGCUGGUCAGUUGCUCUUGGUUCGCCUUUCACAUUUGCUACUACUUUAGAGCAGGAGUACAAGAGUGACAUCUUUGGGGAACGAGGUGUGUAGCUUAUAUUGUUCUUUUCUGCUUUGUGCAGUCAACUUUCUAUGCCUGACUUUUGGAUGUAUUGGUUUUAGGCAUUUUGCUUGGUGCGGUUCAUGGCAUUGUGGAGGCCUUAUUUAGAAGAUACACAGAAAAUGGAAUGAGUGAGGACCUGGCUUACAAGAAUACUGUUGAAUGCAUAACAGGAAUUAUAUCAAAGACAAUUUCAACUCAGGUUGCUUUUUUUUUCAUCUGAAACUUUCUCUUUCUCUGCAUCUCUCUCUGUUACACAUAGAAAAGGUACAUAUUUACUUAGUGGAAAAUGCAUCUGUCUUUACUUACUUUCAUCUUAUUUUGUGGUGAACAGGGCAUGUUGGCUGUGUACAAUUCUUUUUCUGAAGAGGGACGGAAGGAAUUUGAGACUGCAUAUAGUACUUCAUAUUAUCCAUGCAUGGAUAUCUUGUAUGAGUGCUAUGAAGAUGUAGCUUGUGGGAAUGAAAUCCGCAGUGUUGUCUUGGCUGGGCG
rnacentral:lncRNA from 1 species